rnacentral:rRNA from 1 species
CUUUGGUUGGGGCAACCAUGGAGUAAAAGCAGCCUCCAGUUUUUCAGGUAGAAAACCAUUCUCCUAAAUACACAACCUCAAGAACCAAAAAUUUUGGAAAACGGAAAAAGUUACCGCAGGGAUAACAGCGUUAUCUUUUCUGAGAGCCCUUAUUGACGAAAAGGAUUGCGACCUCGAUGUUGGAUUGGGGUAACCAGAGGGUGCAGCAGCUCUCUAAGGUUGGACUGUUCGUCCAUU